rnacentral:tRNA from 1 species
GUGCCGGUGGUGCAAGGCGUAGCAUCCUGCUCGAAAAGCAGAAGGUGCGGGUCGGAAUCCCGUCUGGCGCA